rnacentral:rRNA from 1 species
GGGUUGUGAGGUUAAGCGACUAAGCGUACACGGUGGAUGCCCUGGCAGUCAGAGGCGAUGAAGGACGUGCUAAUCUGCGAUAAGCGUCGGUAAGGUGAUAUGAACCGUUAUAACCGGCGAUUUCCGAAUGGGGAAACCCAGUGUGAUUCGUCACACUAUCAUUAACUGAAUCCAUAGGUUAAUGAGGCGAACCGGGGGAACUGAAACAUCUAAGUACCCCGAGGAAAAGAAAUCAACCGAGAUUCCCCCAGUAGCGGCGAGCGAACGGGGAGCAGCCCAGAGCCUGAAUCAGUGUGUGUGUUAGUGGAAGCGUCUGGAAAGGCGCGCGAUACAGGGUGACAGCCCCGUACACAAAAAUGCACAUACUGUGAGCUCGAUGAGUAGGGCGGGACACGUGGUAUCCUGUCUGAAUAUGGGGGGACCAUCCUCCAAGGCUAAAUACUCCUGACUGACCGAUAGUGAACCAGUACCGUGAGGGAAAGGCGAAAAGAACCCCGGCGAGGGGAGUGAAAAAGAACCUGAAACCGUGUACGUACAAGCAGUGGGAGCCUCUUAAUGGGGUGACUGCGUACCUUUUGUAUAAUGGGUCAGCGACUUAUAUUCUGUAGCAAGGUUAACCGAAUAGGGGAGCCGAAGGGAAACCGAGUCUUAACUGGGCGUUAAGUUGCAGGGUAUAGACCCG